GAAUGUAGCUCAGUGGUAGAGUACAUGCUUAGCAUGCAUAUGAGGUCUUGGGUUCAAUUCAUAGUGUAACA
rnacentral:tRNA from 1 species